AUUGAACGCUGGCGGCAGGCCUAACACAUGCAAGUCGAGCGGAUGAAGGGAGCUUGCUCCUGGAUUCAGCGGCGGACGGGUGGGUAAUGCCUAGGAAUCUGCCUGGUAGUGUGGGAUAACGUCCGGAAACGGGCGCUAAUACCGCAUACGUCCUGAGGGAGGAAGUGGGGGAUCUUCGGACCUCACGCUAUCAGAUGAGCCUAGGUCGGAUUAGCUAGUUGGUGGGGUAAAGGCCUACCAAGGCGACGAUCCGUAACUGGUCUGAGAGGAUGAUCAGUCACACUGGAACUGAGACACGGUCCAGACUCCUACGGGAGGCAGCAGUAGGGAAUAUUGGACAAUGGGCGAAAGCCUGAUCCAGCCAUGCCGCGUGUGUGAAGAAGGUCUUCGGAUUGUAAAGCACUUUAAGUUGGGAGGAAGGGCAGUAAGUUAAUACCUUGCUGUUUUGACGUUACCAGCAGAAUAAGCACCGGCUAACUUCGUG
rnacentral:rRNA from 1 species